rnacentral:lncRNA from 1 species
GAAAUGCUAAAUUGGACAGUUUAGAUUAUGAGUGUAAGGAGGUAAAGCUUCAUGAAGGAAGGAAGACUAAAGCUUGACCUUGAUGGAUAUUUAGGAUUUGACUAGAUAGAAGGGGAAAAAGGAGAAAGAACACUACAGAGAGGAAACAACAAUCAUCAAAGACACAGAGCAGGAAGAUCUUUUACUUAACGACUCUAAAAAAUGUUUAUCACCAUCUUUGUCUGCAAAUAAAAGAGAUAAAGAAUGGACCUGGGUCUUCAAAUUCAAGUUAGUGAAAUGUCUUCUAUUAAUUCAGGUACUGGACAAGUAUUUGGGAUACAAAGGAAGACAAAAGAUGGUCCCUGAUCUCAAGGAGCUCAGAGUCUAAUGGAUUGCAGUUUAAUUCCAACUUUCACUGAUAGAUUCACUGGAAGGUCCAUAUACCAAUCCAAUCAUUAUACCCAUCCUAUAUAGUUCUUACAUGUAAUUUCCCUCCAAUAUAAUAUAAAGUCCUGGUAAGGCCUGGAUUCUUUUUUAUUUUUAUCUUUGAAUCAGCAGUGUAGAACACAGUGCCUUAUACAUCAAAGAUGCUUGAUUACAUGCUUGUUGGGAUAGUUUAUAUCACCCAAUUAAUAAUAAAGGGA